rnacentral:rRNA from 1 species
CCUACGGGAGGCAGCAGUGGGGAAUCUUGCGCAAUGGGCGAAAGCCUGACGCAGCCAUGCCGCGUGUAUGAUGAAGGUCUUAGGAUUGUAAAAUACUUUCACCGGUGAAGAUAAUGACUGUAGCCGGAGAAGAAGCCCCGGCUAACUUCGUGCCAGCAGCCGCGGUAAUACGAAGGGGGCUAGCGUUGCUCGGAAUUACUGGGCGUAAGGGGAGCGUAGGCGGACAUUUAAGUCAGAGGUGAAAUCCCGGAGCUUAACUUCGGAACUGCCUUUGAUACUGGGUGUCUUGAGUGUGAGAGAGGUAUGUGGAACUCCGAGUGUAGAGGUGAAAUUCGUAGAUAUUCGGAAGAACACCAGUGGCGAAGGCGACAUACUGGCUCAUUACUGACGCUGAGGCUCGAAAGCGUGGGGAGCAAACAGGAUUAGAUACCCUGGUAGUCCACGCCGUAAACGAUGAUUGCUAGUUGUCGGGAAGCUUGCUUCUCGGUGACGCAGCUAACGCAUUAAGCAAUCCGCCUGGGGAGUACGGUCGCAAGAUUAAAACUCAAAGGAAUUGACGG